AAUCAACGCUGGCGGCGUGCCUCAGACAUGCAAGUCGAACGAUUAAAGCUCUCUUCGGAGAGUGCAUAGAGUGGCGCACGGGUGAGUAACACGUAAGUAAUCUACCUUCGAGUGGGGAAUAACGUCCGGAAACGGACGCUAAUACCGCAUAAUGCAGCGGCAUCGCAAGAUGACAGUUGUUGAAGAUUUAUCGCUUGAAGAGGAGCUUGCGGCAGAUUAGCUAGUUGGUAAGGUAAUGGCUUACCAAGGCUACGAUCUGUAACCGGUCUAAGAGGACGGUCGGUCACACUGACACUGAAUAACGGGUCAGACUCCUACGGGAGGCAGCAGUCGGGAAUUUUGGGCAAUGGGCGAAAGCCUGACCCAGCAACGCCGCGUGAAGGAUGAAGUAUUUCGGUAUGUAAACUU
rnacentral:rRNA from 1 species